rnacentral:rRNA from 1 species
CCUACGGGGGACAGCAGUCGAGAAUCAUUCACAAUGGGGGAAACCCUGAUGGUGCGACGCCGCGUGGGGGAAUGAAGGUCUUCGGAUUGUAAACCCCUGUCAUGUGGGAGCAAAUUAAAAAGAUAGUACCACAAGAGGAAUAGACGGCUAACUCUGUUCCAGCAGCCGCGGUAAUACAGAGGUCUCAAGCGUUGUUCUGACUCACUGGGCGUAAAGCGUUCGUAGGCUGUUUCGUAAGUCGUGUGUGAAAGGCGCGGGCUAAAACCGUUGACGGCACAUGAUACUGCGAGACUAGAGUAAUGGAAGGGGAACCGGAAUUCUCGGUGUAGCAGUGAAAUGCGUAGAUAUCGAGAGGAACACUCGUGGCGAAGGCGGGUUCCUGGACAUUAACUGACGCUGAGGCACGAAGGUCAGGGGAGCGAAAGGGAUUAGAUACCCCGGUAGUC